GGGAUCAUUUUGGGAGUAUUUUUGGCAAUUGUGGGGAUUUUGGGAAUAUUUUUGGGGAAUAUUUUGGAAUUUUGGGAUAUUUUGGAGAAUUUGGGGAAUAUUUUGGGAAUAUUUUGGGAAUUUUGGGGAGUUUUGGGGAAGAUUUUGGGAAUUUGGGGAUUUUUUGGGAAUAUUUGGGGAAUAUUUUGGGGAAUAUUGGGAAUUUUUGGGGAUUUUGGGGAAUAUUUGGGGAAUAUUUUGGGGUAGAUUUUGGGGUAGAUUUGGGGAUUUUUGGGGUAGAUUUUUGGGAAUAUUUUUGGGGAUAUUUUGGGGAUUUUUGGGGAUAUUUAGGGGAUAUUUUGGGGAUAUUUUGUAGAUUUUUGGGGAUAUUUUUGGGGAUAUUUUGGGGAUAUUUUGGGAAUUUUGGGUCUAUUUUGGUGUAGGUUUGGGGAUUUUUGGGGCUAUUUUGGGGCUAUUUUGGGGUAGAUUUGUGGAUUUUUGGGGAUAUAUUGGGGUAGAUUUGGGGAUUUUUGGGGAUAUAUUGGGGUAGAUUUGGGGAUUUUUGGGGCUGUUUUGGGAAUAUUUUGGGGCUGUUUUGGGGCAAUUUUGUGUAUUUUUGGGGAUUUUUGGGGCUAUUUUUGGGCUAUUUUGGGUAUUUUGGGGGAUUUUUGGGAAUAUUUUGGGGCAAUUUUGUGUAUUUUGGGGUAUUUUUGUGGCUAUUUUGGGGCAAUUUUGUGGAUUUUUGGGGAUUUUUGGGAAUAUUUUGGGGCAAUUUUGGGUAUUUUUGGGAAUAUUUUGGGGCAAUUUUGGGGCAAUUUUGGGAAUAUUUUGGGGCUAUUUUGGGGCUAUUUUGUGGAUUUUUGGGGAUUUUUGGGAAUAUUUUGGGGCAAUUUUGGGUAUUUUUGGGGCUAUUUUGGGGCUAUUUUGGGGCUAUUUUUGGGGAUUUUUGGGAAUAUUUUGGGUCUAUUUUGGGUAUUUUGGGGGAUUUUUGUGUAUUUUUGGGAAUAUUUUGUGUAUUUUUGUGUAUUUUUGGGUAUUUUUGGGUAUUUUUGGGUAUUUUGGGGAAUAUUUUGGAUCUAUUUUGGGUAUUUUCGGGUCUCACCCCCGGCCAGGCUCAGCAGGGCCCAGCAGAGGCCGAAGGUCCCGGGGCCCAUCCGGCUGCAAUUAACACAGACAGUUAAUUAGCUAAUCAGGUAAUCAAUGAACCA
rnacentral:lncRNA from 1 species